UACAGCCAUAUCAUGUUGAAACACUGGUUCUCCUAUGAUCACCAAAGUUAAGCAAUGUUGUGCUUGGUCAGUACCUAGAUGGAUAACUGCUUAGGAAUACCAGGUGCU